rnacentral:rRNA from 1 species
UACGGGGGGGGGCAAGCGUUGUUCGGAUUUACUGGGCGUAAAGGGCGCGUAGGCGCCUUCUAAGUCGAACGUGAAAUCCCCGGGCUCAACCCGGGAACUGCGUCCGAUACUGGAAGGCUUGAAUCCGGGGAGAGGGAUGUGGAAUUCCAGGUGUAGCGGUGAAAUGCGUAGAUAUCUGGAGGAACACCGGUGGCGAAGGCGGCAUCCUGGACCGAGAUUGACACUGAUGAGCGAAAGCUAGGGGAGCAAACGGG